rnacentral:rRNA from 1 species
GUGAAUCAUCGAGUCUUUGAACGCACCUUGCGCUCUUUGGUAUUCCGAAGAGCAUGCCUGUUUGAGUGUCAUUAAAUUCUCAACCUCAUCGCUUUUGUGAUGAUGGCUUGGAUGUGGAGGUUUCUGCAGGCCGAAAGGUCUGCUCCUCUCAAAUGAAUUAGUGGGUGCCCCGCGCAAACCUAUCUAUUGGUGUGAUAAUUAUCUACGCCGUGGUCUAGGAUUGCUGUAAAAAGGUGUUUGCCCUGCUUCUAACCGUCCAUUGACUUGGACAACUUGAACCAUUUGACCUCAAAUCAGGUAGGACUACCCGCUGAACUUAA